ensembl:lncRNA
CUUAGCUACUACAUACGACCACUACACAUCAGCAGAGUUGAAUCUUAUACACAUCGAGGGCCGUUCAGAGUUUAGUGUAAGUUUGUCUGCUUCAUAUACAGAAUGAUAUUGUUAUUGUACAGUAUGGUAUUGUCCAUCUAUAUGUCCCUGAACUAAACAGUUUCUCUCAUGUUUUUACUCUGUAAUGUUCUUGUCAUCAUAUCUGUGCUGAACAAAUGUGUCCUGAGCUCUGACGUCUCUUUUAGAGGACAGUCUGAUGUAUGCUGAGGUCAAACAGCCCAAAAAAGAAAAAGCCAAGAAAAACAAAGGAACAUCAAGUCCUGCAGCUGAUGCAGCAGUUUAUUCUGAAGUCACAUCAGGAAGCUCUCUCAGUCAGUGAGGAGAGCUGUAGCAGCAAAGCCAAGAAGAAGCUUUUCAUGAAGCCACUCUUGCUCCUCUGCUGCCCAAAUAUCAGACAUGCUCAGCUUUAUGUGCAGUUACAAUAUUACACCAUAAUAUCAUAUAAUUCAGUAUAAACCAAAUGGAGGUGUAUUCAUAUUCACCUAGAGACUAUAAAAAGCUGAGCAACCCGUCACCAUUUUGAGACAUGUGCCUGACCCUCUGGUAGCAUCUCUCCCGUCCGGACGUUGUAAUGCUCUUAUUGUGGAAUUGUAUGGA